GACGAACGCUGGCGGCGUGCUUAACACAUGCAAGUCGAGCGAACCUUCGGGUUAGCGGCGAACGGGUGAGUAACACGUGGGCAACCUGCCCCGAGCUCUGGGAUAACCCCCGGGAACCGGGACUAAUACCGGACUACGAGGCCGACAGACAUCUGUUGGUCUGGUAAAGUUUUUCGGUCGUCGGGAGUGGGCCCCGCGGCCUAUCAG
rnacentral:rRNA from 1 species